rnacentral:lncRNA from 1 species
GUGCCAUGCGCGAUAUGCACUGGUCAGUCUAAUACGACAGUUAAGAAAGACGUUCACAAAACAUGGAGCUCAUAUCAUAUGAUUCUAUGAGAACAAGAAAGGCGACAGCGUUGUUUCUAUUAAUUCAAAUGGAACAAGAAGAGCAGCUAUUACAGGCUCGGGAUUUACUUUUACAAGUAAAAUAUUAUUUUUUGUCAAUUUUUCAUAUCAAGUAACAUAAUGAAAAUCAUAAACGCGCCUCGUACACCAACACUGCAGGUACACAUAUAUAGGGAAACCAACUUUUUCUUCAUUAUUCUGAUUUUUUAUGUAUCGUCUGAGUUGUUGUCACACGAAUGUUUACUCCAUAACCAUUUUGUUUUGUAUAUGACAUAUUUUGCCGCUUUUGUUGCUUUCCACACAUCCUUCCUUUUGUCUAUAUUAUUAUGAUAUUCUCCUGGGAAGAGCUCUUUUUGAAUAAAAGGGAUCAACGAACCCAUUACCUUACCUUUAAGAUAGAUCAGUAAACAUGGGCCUAAUUAUGGGUGAUUAUUCAGACUAGUGCAUACAUUU